rnacentral:rRNA from 1 species
UACAGAGGUCCCAAGCGUUGUUCGGAUUCACUGGGCGUAAAGGGUGCGUAGGCGGUCGGGUAAGUCUGAUGUGAAAUCUCACAGCUUAACUGUGAAACUGCAUUGGAUACUAUUCGGCUUGAGAGUUGGAGGGGGGACUGGAAUUCUUGGUGUAGCAGUGAAAUGCGUAGAUAUCAAGAGGAACACCAGUGGCGAAGGCGAGUCCCUGGACAACUUCUGACGCUGAGGCACGAAAGCUAGGGGAGCAAACAG